CCUACGGGCGGCAGCAGUGGGGGAUAUUGGACAAUGGGGGGAACCCUGAUCCAGCGACGCCGCGUGAGUGAAGAAGUCUCUCGGUAUGUAAAGCUCUAUCAGCAGGGAAGAAGAAAUGACGGUACCUGAGUAAGAAGCUCCGGCUAACUACGUGCCAGCAGCCGCGGUAAUACGGAGGGGGCAAGCGUUAUCCGGAAUUACGGGGUGUAAAGGGAGCGUAGACGGUGAUGUAAGUGUGGAGUGAAAGGCGGGGGCUCAACCGCCGGAUUGCUCUUGAGACUAUGUGACUGGAGUGCAGUAGAGGUGGGCGGAAUUCCACGUGUAGCGGUGAAAUGCGUAGAUAUUAGGAGGAACACCAGUGGCGAAGGCGGCUCACUGGACUGUAACUGACGUUGAGGCGCGAAAGCGUGGGGAGCAAACAGGAUUAGAUACCCGAGUAGUC
rnacentral:rRNA from 1 species